GUUGGUAAGACAUCACUCCAACCCACCACCACCAAUAAGCAGGAUCAGAGAAUGAAGAGGAUGUAGAAGCUCAAAAAGUUUCUCCAGAAGAUCAAAAAUGAGAGAAACAAACUCCAGGGAAUCCUAGCAAAUUACACUAACAAGGAUUUGAACAACAGAAUCAAAAUUAAGACAUUCAUGCUCAAGAUGCAACAUGACCAGGUGAUGACUGACCUGAAGAGAAUGCCCCAGGACAUCAGUGAGGCCUUGUACAAGUACAAGGAGUUGACUAAAGAAAACCAAUUCUACUGCUGAAGUGAAUCUAACCAUCUCCAGCACAAAGUCAGGAUGUUGUGGAAGGAGAACAGACAGUUACUAGAGGAGCAGAUUGCACUAGAAAAUGCUCCAACGAAUCAAAGAGGCUGUGUAAAGAAGACAGCCUGAAGACCAAUGACCUAUGUACCAAGCAGCAGCAGG
rnacentral:lncRNA from 1 species